rnacentral:rRNA from 1 species
AACGAACGCUGGCGGCAUGCCUAACAUAUGCAAGUCGAACGAGACCUUCGGGUCUAGUGGCGCACGGGUGCGUAACGCGUGGGAACCUGCCCUUAGGUUCGGAAUAACUCCCCGAAAGGGGUGCUAAUACCGGAUAAUGUCUUCGGACCAAAGAUUUAUCGCCUUUGGAUGGGCCCGCGUUGGAUUAGCUAGUUGGUAGGGUAAAAGCCUACCAAGGCGACGAUCCAUAGCUGGUCUGAGAGGAUGAUCAGCCACACUGGGACUGAGACACGGCCCAGACUCCUACGGGAGGCAGCAGUGGGGAAUAUUGGACAAUGGGCGAAAGCCUGAUCCAGCAAUGCCGGGUGAGUGAUGAAGGCCUUAGGGUUGUAAAGCUCUUUUAUCCGGGAUGAUAAUGACAGUACCGGGAGAAUAAGCGCCGGCUAACUCCGUG